rnacentral:lncRNA from 1 species
GGCGACAGCGUUGUUUCUAUUAAUUCAAAUGGAACAAGAAGAGCAGCUAUUACAGGCUCAGGAUUUACUUUUACAAGAAAAAUAUUAUUUUUUGUCAAUUUUUCAUAUUAAGUAACAUAAUGAAAAUCAUAAACGCGCCUCGUACACCAACACUGCAGGUACACGUAUAUAGGGAAACCAACUUUUUCUUCAUUAUUCUAAUUUUUUAGGUAUCGUCUGAGUUGUUGUCACACGAAUGUACUCCAUAACCAUUUUGUUUUCUAUAUGUCAUAUUUUGCCGCAUUUGUUGCUUUCCCCACAUCCUUCCUUUUGUCUAUAUUAUUAUGAUAUUCUCCUGGAAAGAGCUCUUUUUGAAUAAAAGGGAUCAACGAACCCAUUAUUACCUUUAAGAUAGAUCAGUAAACAUGGGCAUAAUUAUGGGUGAUUAUUCAGACUAGUGCACACAUUUUACAGUUCAAACAAGGCAAUGCCGAGCUUGGCAUCCCCUCGUAUGUAACAUAUUGGGGACAAAUAUGGACCGUGCACUAUAUUUGUAUAUGACACAUGCAGAAAAUGGUAAAUUGAAUAUGCAUAUAUUUAUAAACUAUUUUUUUAGAAAUCUACCAAAACAUUCAGUAACUGGAAAUACCUUUAAUAUUGUCUUUAGAACCAGCAGGUAAAAAAAUGAGCAACC